UACAGAGGUCUCAAGCGUUGUUCGGAUUCAUUGGGCGUAAAGGGUGUGUAGGUGGCGCGCUAAGUCGGGUGUGAAAUUUCGGAGCUUAACUCGGAAACUGCCGUGGAUACUAUUAGUCUUGAAUCUCGUGGAGGUAAGCGGAAUAUGUCAUGUAGCGGUGAAAUGCUUAGAUAUGACAUAGAACACCGAUAGCGAAGGCAGCUUGCUACACGAGUAUUGACACUGAGGCACGAAAGCGUGGGGAUCAAACAGG
rnacentral:rRNA from 1 species